rnacentral:rRNA from 1 species
ACUCCUACGGGAGGCAGCAGUGGGGAAUAUUGGACAAUGGGCGAAAGCCUGAUCCAGCCAUGCCGCGUGUGUGAAGAAGGCCUUUUGGUUGUAAAGCACUUUAAGCGAGGAGGAGGCUACUUGGAUUAAUACUCUAGGAUAGUGGACGUUACUCGCAGAAUAAGCACCGGCUAACUCUGUGCCAGCAGCCGCGGUAAUACAGAGGGGUGCGAGCGUUAAUCGGAUUUACUGGGGCGUAAAGCGUGCGUAGGCGGCUUCUUAAGUCGGAUGUGAAAUCCCUGAGCUUAACUUAGGAAUUGCAUUCGAUACUGGGAAGCUAGAGUAUGGGAGAGGAUGGUAGAAUUCCAGGUGUAGCGGUGAAAUGCGUAGAGAUCUGGAGGAAUACCGAUGGCGAAGGCAGCCAUCUGGCCUAAUACUGACGCUGAGGUACGAAAGCAUGGGGAGCAAACAGGAUUAGAUACCCUGGUAGCACAGAG